rnacentral:lncRNA from 1 species
UUAGGCAAGGAAGGUCCAUAUCAAAACCUGGCACAAUCCUCAGAAAUUGACUGAAUUGAUUCUUUCCUGCAACGAGUAUGCCCAACACCAUUGCAGCCUAUAGGAGCAUGUUCAAGUCAGAAUUGCUUAAGGGUUAGUAUCAAAAUAAAUAAUUCAGACUUAACAUAUUUAUUGAUGACAAGCACCAUGACUAGGGCUCACCUAAAGCGUGUCUAUUUGUUGCUAUCUUUUUUCUCAGUCCUGCUGUCUUUAGAAUCAAUGCAAGGGGUUAGAGGUGGAAAGGAUGGCACAGCUUUCAAUAUGAACUUGCGACCACUUCUCAAGCCUCCCGAAGAGCUUGACCAGAGGCCCUGAAUAUGUUUGUGAGGAGG